AUUAAUAAGCGGAGGAAAAGAAACCAACCGGGAUUCCCACAGUAACGGCGAGUGAAGUGGGACCAGCCCAGCACCGAAUCGCACGCCGUUAGGCGUCGCGAACUGUGGUGUUUAGGACGAGCGCUUGUACGUCGGAAAGUCGUCGGAGUCCUCCUGAUCGGGGCUUGCCAGAGCGGGUGUUAGCCCUCUACGGCGACCGACCGGCGUGCCCGCCACGUCCUCGGAGUCGGGUUGUUUGAGAAUGCAGCCCAAAGUUGGUGGUAAACUCCAUCUAAGGCUAAAUACUGUCGCGAGUCCGAUAGCGAACAAGUACCGUGAGGGAAAGUU
rnacentral:rRNA from 1 species